rnacentral:rRNA from 1 species
ACUCAAUAGAUACCCGGGUAGUCCACGCCCUAAACGAUGCAUAUUUGGUGUGGGCAGUUCAUUCUGUCCGUGCCGGAGCUAACGCGUUAAAUAUGCCGCCUGGGGAGUACAGUCGCAAGGCUGAAACUCAAAGGAAUUGACGGGGGCCCGCACAAGCGGUGGAGCAUGUGGUUCAAUUCGACGCAACGCGAAGAACCUUACCUGGGCUCGAACGGCUGAUCAACGGCGGCGGAAACGUCGCUACCCGCAAGGGGGUUCAGUCGAGGUGCUGCAUGGCUGUCGUCAGCUCGUGUCGUGAGAUGUUGGGUUAAGUCCCGCAACGAGCGCAACCCUUGUCCUGUGUUGCCAUCAUUCAGUUGGGAACUCGCAGGAGACCGCCAGGGAUAACCUGGAGGAAGGUGGGGAUGACGUCAAGUCCUCAUGGCCUUUAUGUCCAGGGCUACACACGUGCUACAAUGGACGGUACAAAGCGCAACGAACUCGCGAGAGGGAGCCAAUCGCAAAAAACCCGGUUCUCAGUUCGGAUUGCAGG